rnacentral:rRNA from 1 species
AGAGUUUGAUCCUGGCUCAGAACGAACGCUGGCGGCAGGCCUAACACAUGCAAGUCGAACGAAGCCUUCGGGCUUAGUGGCGGACGGGUUAGUAACGCGUGGGAACGUGCCUUUCACUACGGAAUAGUCCCGGGAAACUGGGUUUAAUACCGUAUACGCCCUUCGGGGGAAAGAAUUUCGGUGAAAGAUCGGCCCGCGUUAGAUUAGAUAGUUGGUGGGGUAAUGGCCUACCAAGUCUACGAUCUAUAGCUGGUUUUAGAGGAUGAUCAGCAACACUGGGACUGAGACACGGCCCAGACCCCUACGGGAGGCAGCAGUGGGGAAUCUUAGACAAUGGGCGCAAGCCUGAUCUAGCCAUGCCGCGUGAGUGAUGAAGGCCCUAGGGUCGUAAAGCUCUUUCGCCAGGGAUGAUAAUGACAGUACCUGGUAAAGAAACCCCGGCUAACUCCGUGCCAGCAGCCGCGGUAAUACGGAGGGGGUUAGCGUUGUUCGGAAUUACUGGGCGUAAAGCGCACGUAGGCGGAUCGGAAAGUUGGGGGUGAAAUCCCGGGGCUCAACCCCGGAACUGCCUCCAAAACUACUGGUCUAGAGUUCGAGAGAGGUGAGUGGAAUUCCGAGUGUAGAGGUGAAAUUCGUAGAUAUUCGGAGGAACACCAGUGGCGAAGGCGGCUCACUGGCUCGAUACUGACGCUGAGGUGCGAAAGUGUGGGAAGCAAACAGGAUUAGAUACCCUGGUAGUCCACACCGUAAACGAUGAAUGCCAGUCGUCGGGCAGUAUACUGUUCGGUGACACACCUAACGGAUUAAGCAUUCCGCCUGGGGAGUACGGUCGCAAGAUUAAAACUCAAAGGAA